GUGGGGAAUAUUGCGCAAUGGGCGAAAGCCUGACGCAGCGACGCCGCGUGAGGGAUGAAGGUUUUCGGAUCGUAAACCUCUGUCAGAAGGGAAGAAACUACAUUGUGCUAAUCAGCAGUGUACUGACGGUACCUUCAAAGGAAGCACCGGCUAACUCCGUGCCAGCAGCCACGGUAAUACGGAGGGUGCAAGCGUUAAUCGGAAUUACUGGGCGUAAAGCGCACGUAGGCUGUAGUGUAAGUCAGGGGUGAAAUCCCACGGCUCAACCGUGGAACUGCCUUUGAUACUGCACAACUUGAAUCCGGGAGAGGGUGGCGGAAUUCCAGGUGUAGGAGUGAAAUCCGUAGAUAUCUGGAGGAACAUCAGUGGCGAAGGCGGCCACCUGGACCGGUAUUGACGCUGAGGUGCGAAAGCGUGGGGAGCAAACAGGAUUAGAAACCCCAGUAGUCC
rnacentral:rRNA from 1 species